rfam:Diplodia corticola strain CBS 112549 scaffold6, whole genome shotgun sequence.
UUCCCUGAUGAACCCAAUUAUUUCGCUGUGUUCUUCCUGAGUUCAUCGUUGAAGAAACAACCAAUCACCUUGGAGACCUGAAAC